GACUCUCGGCAACGGAUAUCUCCGCUACCUCCUGCAUCGAUGAAGAACGCAGCA
rnacentral:rRNA from 1 species